rnacentral:rRNA from 1 species
UGCAGUCGAGCGGUCAGAUGAGGAGCUUGCUCCUUUGGCGGUAGCGCCGGACGGGUGAGAAUCACGUGGGGAACCUAGCUAUAAGACUGGAAUAACUUCGGGAAACCGAAGCUAAUGCCGGAUAACAUGUAAAACCGCAUGGUUCUACAGUGAAAGAUGGCUUUGCUAUCACUUAUACAUGGACCCGCGCCGUAUUAGCUAGUUGGUAAGGUAACGGCUUACCAAGGCAACGAUACGUAGCCGACCUGAGAGGGUGAUCGGCCACACUGGAACUGAGACACGGUCCAGACUCCUACGGGAGGCAGCAGUAGGGAAUCUUCCGCAAUGGGCGAAAGCCUGACGGAGCAACGCCGCGUGAGUGAUGAAGGUCUUCGGAUCGUAA